rnacentral:rRNA from 1 species
GAUGAACGCUGGCGGCGUGCUUAACACAUGCCAGUCGAACGGAAAGGCUCCUGCUUGCAGGGGUACUCGAGUGGCGAACGGGUGAGUAACACGUGGGUGAUCUGCCCUGCACUUCGGGAUAAGCCUGGGAAACUGGGUCUAAUACCGGAUAGGACCAUCGUUUAGUGUCGGUGGUGGAAAGUUUUUUCGGUGUGGGAUGAGCUCGCGGCCUAUCAGCUUGUUGGUGGGGUAAUGGCCUACCAAGGCGUCGACGGGUAGCCGGCCUGAGAGGGUGUACGGCCACAUUGGGACUGAGAUACGGCCCAGACUCCUACGGGAGGCAGCAGUGGGGAAUAUUGCACAAUGGGCGCAAGCCUGAUGCAGCGACGCCGCGUGGGGGAUGACGGCCUUCGGGUUGUAAACUCCUUUCGCCAGGGACGAAGCGAAAGUGACGGUACCUGGAUAAGAAGCACCGGCUAACUACGUG